rnacentral:rRNA from 1 species
UACGGGGGGAGCAAGCGUUGUUCGGAUUUACUGGGCGUAAAGGGCGGCGUAGGCGGUCGUGACAAGUCACUUGUGAAAUCUCCGGGCUUAACUCGGAACGGUCAAGUGAUACUGUCGGACUAGAGUACAGAAGGGGCAACUGGAAUUCUCGGUGUAGCGGUGAAAUGCGUAGAUAUCGAGAGGAACACCUGCGGCGAAGGCGGGUUGCUGGGCUGAUACUGACGCUGAGGCGCGAAAGCCAGGGGAGCGAACGGG